rnacentral:rRNA from 1 species
ACCGGCUAACUCCGUGCCAGCAGCCGCGGUAAUACGGAGGGUGCAAGCGUUACUCGGAAUCACUGGGCGUAAAGGACGCGUAGGCGGAUUAUCAAGUCUCUUGUGAAAUCCUAUGGCUUAACCAUAGAACUGCUUGGGAAACUGAUAAUCUAGAGUGAGGGAGAGGCAGAUGGAAUUGGUGGUGUAGGGGUAAAAUCCGUAGAGAUCACCAGGAAUACCCAUUGCGAAGGCGAUCUGCUGGAACUCAACUGACGCUAAUGCGUGAAAGCGUGGGGAGCAAACAGGAUUAGAUACCCUGGUAGUCCACGCCCUAAACGAUGUAUACUAGUUGUUGCUAAGCUAGUCUUGGCAGUAAUGCACCUAACGGAUUAAGUAUACCGCCUGGGGAGUACGGUCGCAAGAUUAAAACUCAAAGGAAUAGACGGGGACCCGCACAAGCGGUGGAGCAUGUGGUUUAAUUCGAAGAUACGCGAAGAACCUUACCCGGACUUGAUAUCUAACAAAUCAUCUAGAGAUAGAAGAGUGUCUGCUUGCAGAAAUGUUAAGACAGGUGCUGCAGUCGUCAGCUCGUGUCGUGAGAUGUUGGGUUAAGUCCCGCAACGAGCGCAACCCACGUCAUUAGUUGCUAACAGUUCGGCUGAGCACUCUAAUGAGACUGCCUUCGUAAGGAGGAGGAAGGUGUGGACGACGUCAAGUCAUCAUGGCCCUUAUGUCCGGGGCGACACACGUGCUACAAUGGCAUAUACAAUGAGAAGCAAUAUCGCGAGAUGGAGCAAAUCUAUAAAAUAUGUCCCAGUUCGGAUUGGAGUCUGCAACUCGACUCCAUGAAGCCGGAAUCGCUAGUAAUCGUAGAUCAGCCAUGCUACGGUGAAUACGUUCCCGGGUCUUGUACUCACCGCCCGUCACACCAUGGGAGUUGAUUUCACUCGAAGCCGGAAUACUAAAUUAGUUACCGUCCACAGUGGAAUCAGCGACUGGGGUGAAGUCGUAACAAGGUAACCGUAGGAGAACCUGCGGUUG